AUGGCAAAAGCAAGAGAGUUCCAGAAAACCAUCUAUUUCUGCUUUAUUGACUAUGCCAAAGCCUUUGACUGUGUGGAUCACAAGAAACUGUGGAAAAUUCUGAAAGAGAUGGGAAUACCAGACCACCUGACCUGCCUCUUGAGAAAUCUGUAUGCAGGUCAGGAAGCAACAGUUGGAACUGGACAUGGAACAACAGACUGGUUGCAAAUAGGAAAAGGAGUACGUCAAGGCUGUAUAUUGUCAUCCUGCUUAUUUAACUUCUAUGCAGAGUACAUCAUGAGAAACGCUGGGCUGGAAGAAACACAAGCUGGAAUCAAGAUUGCCGGGAGAAAUACCAAUAACCUCAGAUAUGCAGAUGAUACCACCCUUAUGGCAGAAAGUGAAGAGGAACUGAAAAGCCUCUUGAUGAAAGUGAAAGAGGAGAGUGAAAAAGUUGGCUUAAAGCUCAACAUUCAGAAAACGAAGAUCAUGGCAUCUGGUCCCAUCACUUCAUGGGAAAUAGAUGGGGAGACAGUGGAAACAGUUGCUGACUUUAUUUUUCUGGGCUCCCUAAUCACUGCAGAUGGUGAUUGCAGCCAUGAAAUUAAAAUACGCUUACUCCUUGGAAGAAAAGUUAUGACCAACCUAGAUAGCAUAUUGAAAAGCAGAGACAUUACUUUGCCAACUAAGGUCCGUCUAGUCAAGGCUAUGGUUUUUCCUGUGGUCAUGUAUGGAUGUGAGAGUUGGACUGUGAAGAAGGCUGAGUGCCGAAGAAUUGAUGCUUUUGAACUGUGGUGUUGGAGAAGACUCCUGAAAGUCCCUUGGACUGCAAGGAGAUCCAACCACUCCAUUCUGAAGGAGAUCAGCCCUGGGAUUUCUUUGGAGGGAAUGAUGCUGAAACUGAAACUCCAGUACUUUGGCCACCUCAUGCGAAGAGUUGACUCACUGGAAAAGACUCUGAUGCUGGGAGGGAUUGGGGGCAGGAGGAGAAGGGGACGACCGAGGAUGAGAUGGCUGGAUGGCAUCACUGACUCGAUGGAUGUGAAUCUGAGUGAACUCCGGGAGUUGGUGAUGGACAGGGAGGCCUGGGUUGCUUCGAUUCAUGGGGUCGCAAAGAGUAGGACAUGA
rnacentral:lncRNA from 1 species